GCCCGGAUGGUGAAAUCGGUAGACACAAGGGAUUUAAAAUCCCUCGCUCGCAAGGGCGUGCCGGUUCAAUUCCGGCUCCGGGCACCA
rnacentral:tRNA from 5 species